CUUCCGUUAAUUGAUUAUGACGUACUUGUACUGAUUGAGAUUUUAACACGAAGUGAGUGGCGAACGGGUGAGUAACACGUGGGUAACCUGCCCAGAAGUAGGGGAUAACACCUGGAAACAGAUGCUAAUACCGUAUAACAGAGAAAACCGCAUGGUUUUCUUUUAAAAGAUGGCUCUGCUAUCACUUCUGGAUGGACCCGCGGCGUAUUAGCUAGUUGGUGAGGUAAAGGCUCACCAAGGCAGUGAUACGUAGCCGACCUGAGAGGGUAAUCGGCCACAUUGGGACUGAGACACGGCCCAGACUCCUACGGGAGGCAGCAGUAGGGAAUCUUCCACAAUGGACGCAAGUCUGAUGGAGCAACGCCGCGUGAGUGAAGAAGGGUUUCGGCUCGUAAAGCUCUGUUGUUAAAGAAGAACGUGGGUAAGAGUAACUGUUUACCCAGUGACGGUAUUUAACCAGAAAGCCACGGCUAACUACGUGCCCAGCAGCCCGCGGUAAUACGUAGGUGGGCAAGCGUUAUCCGGAUUUAUUGGGCGUAAAGCGAGCGCAGGCGGUCUUUUAAGUCUAAUGUGAAAGCCUUCGGCUCAACCGAAGAAGUGCAUUGGAAACUGGGAGACUUGAGUGCAGAAGAGGACAGUGGAACUCCAUGUGUAGCGGUGAAAUGCGUAGAUAUAUGGAAGAACACCAGUGGCGAAGGCGGCUGUCUGGUCUGCAACUGACGCUGAGGCUCGAAAGCAUGGGUAGCGAACAGGAUUAGAUACCCUGGUAGUCCAUGCCGUAAACGAUGAUUACUAAGUGUUGGAGGGUUUCCGCCCUUCAGUGCUGCAGCUAACGCAUUAAGUAAUCCGCCUGGGGAGUACGACCGCAAGGUUGAAACUCAAAAGAAUUGACGGGGGGCCCGCACAAGCGGUGGAGCAUGUGGUUUUAAUUCGAAGCUACGCGAAGAACCUUACCAGGUCUUGACAUCUUCUGACAGUCUAAGAGAUUAGAGGUUCCCUUCGGGGACAGAAUGACAGGUGGUGCAUGGUUGUCGUCAGCUCGUGUCGUGAGAUGUUGGGUUAAGUCCCGCAACGAGCGCAACCCUUAUUACUAGUUGCCAGCAUUAAGUUGGGCACUCUAGUGAGACUGCCGGUGACAAACCGGAGGAAGGUGGGGACGACGUCAAAUCAUCAUGCCCCUUAUGACCUGGGCUACACACGUGCUACAAUGGAUGGUACAACGAGUCGCGAGACCGCGAGGUUAAGCUAAUCUCUUAAAACCAUUCUCAGUUCGGACUGUAGGCUGCAACUCGCCUACACGAAGUCGGAAUCGCUAGUAAUCGCGGAUCAGCAUGCCGCGGUGAAUACGUUCCCGGGCCUUGUACACACCGCCCGUCACACCAUGAGAGUUUGUAACACCCAAAGCCGGUGGGGUAACCUUUUAGGAGCUAGC
rnacentral:rRNA from 1 species